UAAUUUUCCUUUUUUUCAGGUUUAAAAUGUUUUCUUCCUCCCUUGUUGUUGUACUUUCUGUUGUUGUUGUUGAUGUUGUAUUUUGUUUACCAACCCCCCAACUCACCGAACAGGAGUUUCGAUCACGUGGGAGAAGCUUAGAAGGACCGGAGGAGG